AAGGGCACGUGCCCACUUAAUUACCUAGAUAAACGGCGGAAAUAAAUUAGCACGCAAGUUAGACGUGUCAUUCCUCCUUUCUGGCAUUCCGCUCUUAUCAAGUUCGUAAUUGUAUUACCUUACCGUCACAUCCUUUGCUAUUAAUACCCUGAUAUACGUUUGCACUUUUGCUAAAAUAAAAUGUGUGGA